UACGGAGGGGCUAGCGUUAUCCGGAAUUACUGGGCGUAAAGGGCAGGCAGGCGGAUCCAUAAGUUUAUCGUUUAAGGCGUCGGCUUAACCGGCGUAGGGCGGUAGAUACUGUGGAUCUGGAAUGCGGUUGGGGAAGACAGAAUUCCUGGUGUAGCGGUGGAAUGCGCAGAGAUCAGGAGGAAUACCGAAGGCGAAGGCAGUCUUCCAAGCCGUUAUUGACGCUCAACUGCGAAGGUGUGGGUAUCAAACAGGAUUAGAUACCCCUGUAGUCCCUGA
rnacentral:rRNA from 1 species